UUGGACAUGAGGAAGAAUUUCUCCACAUAAAGUGUGAUUAGACGUUGGAACGGGCUGCUCAGGGAGGUGUUGAAGGAAAGACGGGACGUGGCGCUGGUGUCAGGGCGCUGGUGCCGGGCCCCAGGCUGGACUCGCUGGCCGUGAGGGUGUUCGGCACAGGUUGGACUCGCUGGCCAUGAGGUGUUUAGCACAGGUCAGACCCGCUGGCCAUGAGGAGUGACUGAGUCCAGCUGGAAGGUGACAGAGAUGGAGCCAAGCUCCCAGACAGGCAGGAAGGGUGCUGAAGGAGAAGUGUUGAUGAAGAAAAGCUGAUCGAGCUGCAGAAUCCAGAUCAGUGCAGAGGCAUGAGAUGUUAUAGAGUUAACAGCCAUGAAGAAAUAUUUUGCACCUGCUGUGUGGGAAGAGGAAUCCUAAGAGUGAAUAAAAUCAAUCCACGACCUUGUGAUUUAUACAGUUCUUAAUCCUAGGUUUGAGAAUGGUACCUAACAAUGCUUGUACCUUGCCAAACUUUUGAACCAUGGAAUUACAAAUACAUUUCAAGGAUUAAGUUACAGAUUAUUUCAGACCUCUCCACAGAAAGAGCUUCAGAAAAGAAGCUGUAAAUUUUACAGAUUAACAGUUGCAUUCAGCAUAUUUUGGACAUGUUUUUCCCAGGUCAUUGUAUAGGGAGCCCUUUUAGUAAGAACCCAGGGAAUGUUGUUUGAUUUUUUAUAUAUAACACAUGACAAACAGUUCCCUUUUGCAGUUACAAAAUUACAUGAUGUGAUACAAGAUGCAUCAAUUUGCUCUUACAAACUUUGCCUCUUGAACUGUUCCAGAGCUGGUCUGGUAUUUACUCACUUUUUGUUCUCUCUGGCUUUACUGGCCUCAGAGUAUAAGUGUUCUUAUCCCUCAGUUCCUUAUAACAUUACAGAAUUUGAAAUUAUUCUGGUUUAUUCCCCAUUAGAACAGAUCAGCCUGUACUGAUUUUUGCCAGCAGAGCUUGAAUAGCAUAUUCUGAGUAUGGGCACUAUCAUAGUUUGUCUCACUUGCAUUAAUGGUCCUUAGAAAUAACUGUGUUUAAAGUAAUAACUCUUGCAUUCUUUUUCCUAAUGUUUUUUGAGAUGGCACAUGCCUUUUAAUUUGUUUUAUUGCAUUUUAAGGCAGUGCCAGCUUCAUCUUUAGUGUCACUGCACAAAAGCUUCCUAAACCCCCUGGGGCUUGUGGUUGUGUAAAAGGUACAGGUGAGUGGCAUCAGCUGUGCUCAUCUCUCUGAACUGUCACCAUGAAGUGUCCAGGUAACAGUGGAUUAUUUUGUCCUCAUUUUGAAAUAGAAAGAAGAAAAAAAAAUUGAGUUCCCACCUCUGUGGAAGGUCAAGUCUCUAUUUUAUGUAUACUUGGGAUGUCUCUGAUUUCCAGAAUUUAAGCUAUGUGAAAUAAUACAGGAAAGGGAACUUUGUUCCUCUCUUGUCACCUUCUCAAGAUUUAUUGGGUCAGAGAGCAGAAAGUUUUUUACCUUGCUACUUUAUACAUUGGUCUGUGAACAGUUGGACUUUUUUUGAGAAAGUCUGUCUAGUAAACAAAAUACAAGCACGUAAAAUACAGAUAUGUAAUCUUAAUAUUUCUGAAAUCUUGUGCAAAUAAUGAAAACAGAAUAUAUACCUCCUGUCAGAGACAGUGAAAAAGGCUAAGUAUUGUGAGACUUAAAAAUUCGGGUGACCUUGUGGUAGACCAGGACUAGGGAGGAGCUCAUCUUGAUUCCUUUAUAGGCUCCCUGAGGGGCUUUGAGCAAAAUAGUUCAGAGCCCCAGUUUUGUCUCAGGAGUGUUUCCUUUCCCUACUUCCCUGCCUGGUUUGAUAGACUGAACCCCCUUUCAAGCUCUCAGGGUUUCAGGGCUCUCAGUGUGUAUUGGCAGUGAGACAGUGGAGUUCUGAUCAGCUCCUUCCAGCUUUACCAACAAUCACUAAGCAGUGGUCCUAACAUAUUUGGGAUUUGGAUUUGUCCAAUAGAACACUGAGCUCCUGAAACUGGGCAGCAGUUUCUGAGCAAAGCCACAUGGGUACAGGUCUCUGGCUGACAUCAGCCAGCUGCAUUCUUUCCACAUCAUUUCAAGAGCUAUAAAUAUAAGGAAGAAAAUCAACAAAGACCCCAUAUCAGAAAAACUGAUUUGUCCUUUUCCUCUCCACCGGAAACAUGAAGCUUGCAUUGUGACAGAGAGCUGGAACAGAGCACAGCAUUGAUAAAUUGAGCAGAUUUGCAGUGCAAUGUUGUCCUGCCAAUACCUGGGUGGUAUUUUUAAAUAAUAUGGAAAAUAAUAUUUACUCUUGCUUACAUUCUUAUAUAGACUCCAUCAGAAUGACCUCCAGUGGGAUUUCACAACUCCUAAAUUAUUUAAGAGGGAGUGUCCUGAGUGUGAAACACAAGGUUUUCUUAUAUACUGUGUAUUAAUACUGCUAUAGGGGCAACAAAAACCCACAGCAAAUGAAAAUCUUUUCUAUGAAGAGUUCGUGAAGCACUCCUGUUGCUCAUGCCUCACCUGACAUUUGCAGAUUUGGUUGUUUAAUUUUUUUAGUUACCUAAACUGAGCAAUAGGGAUUAUACUUUAUUCUUCCCUCCCCCCGCCCCGCAUUCAUCUCCAGUUGUAUUAACUAAAAAUGUACCUCAGUUAUGUCAGCGAAGAUGAUGAAAAAUUGCUUUUCAACUGGUGUUGCCAUAACCACAAAGUAAACACAUCAAAAGGAAGUAUUGAGUUUUCUGGAUCUCUGCUCUUUUCAACCUUGUGUUUAUUAUUAGUAUUUU